rnacentral:rRNA from 1 species
GACGAACGCUGGCGGCGUGCUUAACACAUGCAAGUCGAACGGAAAGGCCCUGCUUUUGUGGGGUGCUCGAGUGGCGAACGGGUGAGUAACACGUGAGUAACCUGCCCUUGACUUUGGGAUAACUUCAGGAAACUGGGGCUAAUACCGGAUAGGAGCUCCUGCGGCAUGGGGGGGGUUGGAAAGUUUCGGCGGUUGGGGAUGGACUCGCGGCUUAUCAGCUUGUUGGUGGGGUAGUGGCUUACCAAGGCUUUGACGGGUAGCCGGCCUGAGAGGGUGACCGGCCACAUUGGGACUGAGAUACGGCCCAGACUCCUACGGGAGGCAGCAGUGGGGAAUAUUGCACAAUGGGCGGAAGCCUGAUGCAGCAACGCCGCGUGCGGGAUGACGGCCUUCGGGUUGUAACCCGCUUUCGCCUGUGACGAAGCGUGAGUGACGGUAAUGUGUAAAGAAGCACCGGCUAACUACGUG